rnacentral:rRNA from 1 species
GAUGAACGCUAGCGGUAGGCUUAACACAUGCAAGUCGAGGGGCAGCAUGGUCUUAGCUUGCUAAGACUGAUGGCGACCGGCGCACGGGUGCGUAACGCGUAUGCAACUUGCCUCACAGAGGGGGAUAACCCGUCGAAAGACGGACUAAUACCGCGUACACUUGGGAUAGGGCAUCCUGACCCAAGGAAAUGAACUUCGCUGUGAGAUAGGCAUGCGUCCCAUUAGCUAGUUGGUGAGGUAACGGCUCACCAAGGCGACGAUGGGUAGGGGAACUGAGAGGUUGAACCCCCACACUGGUACUGAGACACGGACCAGACUCCUACGGGAGGCAGCAGUGAGGAAUAUUGGUCAAUGGGCGAGAGCCUGAACCAGCCAAGUCGCGUGAAGGAUGACUGUCUUAUGGAUUGUAAACUUCUUUUAUACGGGAAUAACAAGAGCCACGUGUGGCUCCCUGCAUGUACCGUAUGAAUAAGCAUCGGCUAACUCCGUG